AUUAUUUGUUGGAAUUUUAGUCCUGCCAGGCUGCCAUAACUUUAGUGGUGAGCGGUGCAUCGUGGUCUCUGUGCAGCUCGUGCAGCUCGUGCAGAGGUGGCAGGUCACGUGACCUAGAGGCGUCAGUGCAACGCCAAGAUACAACCGUCUGUCACAAGACCACCAAAAUGUGUCCCACAUCUGUUACAGAUCUCCCUCUCUCCAUCUACACAACAGCCAUGAAGACGUCGGAGUCAGGACACGUGACUUGCAGCUGAAUAAGAUCUACCUCUCCUCAUCUACACACGGACAGCCAUCAAGACGUCGGAGUAAUGACACCUGAUAUGCAUCUGAAUCAGGUAACCGAGACACACCUCACCACCUUCAUCCACAGAUGACCACUGAACAUUUACACAGUAGGAAGAUAAAGAGGUGAUUGGGAUACCUCGUAUCAAAAUAUUACAUCAUGAUGUAUUCGUUUGGUUAUGGCAGUGGGGUGUCCUAUUGGUUGAAGCGUUCGCUCUUAACGGCAAAGAACUGGUUUCGAUUUUCCACAUGGGUUCAUGUCUGAAGCCCAUUCUUGAUUUUGCAGGAACAUUGCUAAAUCAGUCGCUUACUCUCUAUUAUUGGUGAGAUCUGUAUAAGAUUUAUAAGAUUCUCUGAACAUUGUUAUUUGUUUUGUGCGUAAAACCGAACUGGUAAUU